GACGAACGCUGGCGGCGUGCUUAACACAUGCAAGUCGAACGGAAAGGCCCUGCUUUUGUGGGGUGCUCGAGUGGCGAACGGGUGAGUAACACGUGAGUAACCUGCCCUUGACUUUGGGAUAACUUCAGGAAACUGGGGCUAAUACCGGAUAGGAGCUCCUGCUGCAUGGUGGGGGUUGGAAAGUUUCGGCGGUUGGGGAUGGACUCGCGGCUUAUCAGCUUGUUGGUGGGGUAGUGGCUUACCAAGGCUUUGACGGGUAGCCGGCCUGAGAGGGUGACCGGCCACAUUGGGACUGAGAUACGGCCCAGACUCCUACGGGAGGCAGCAGUGGGGAAUAUGGCACAAUGGGCGGAAGUCUGAUGCAGCAACGCCGCGUGCGGGAUGACGGGCUUCGGGUUGAAAACCGCUUUCGCCUGUGACGAAGCGUGAGUGACGGUAAUGGGUAAAGAAGCACCGGCUAACUACGUG
rnacentral:rRNA from 1 species